UACGAAGGGGGCUAGCGUUGUUCGGAUUUACUGGGCGUAAAGCGCACGUAGGCGGAUUGUUAAGUCAGGGGUAAGAACUCUGGAGCUCAACUCCAGAACUGCCUUUGAUACUGGCAAUCUAGAGUCCGGAAGAGGUGAGUGGAACUCCUAGUGUAGAGGUGGAAUUCGUAGAUAUUAGGAAGAACACCAGUGGCGAAGGCGGCUCACUGGUCCGGUACUGACGCUGAGGUGCGAAAGCGUGGGGAGCAAACAGG
rnacentral:rRNA from 1 species